rnacentral:rRNA from 1 species
CCUACGGGAGGCUGCAGUGGGGAAUAUUGCGCAAUGGGCGAAAGCCUGACGCCGCGACGCCGCGUGAGGGAUGAAGGUCUUCUGAUCGUAAACCUCUUUCAGCAGGGAAGAACGGUCACUGUGCUAAUCAACAGUGAAUUUACGUUAUCUGCAAAGGACGCACCGGCUAACUCCGUGCCAGCAGCCGCGGUAAUACGGAGGGUGCUGUCGUUAAUCGGAUUUACUGGGCGUAAAGCGGUCGUAGGCGGUAUGUCAAGUCAAGGGUGAAAUCCCCGCGCUCAACGUGGGAACUGCCUUUGAAACUGGCAAACUGGAGUGUGUGAGAGGAUAGUGGAAGGCCAGGUGUAGGAGUGAAAUCCGUAGAUAUCUGGAGGAACAUCAGUGGCGAAGGCGAAUAUCUGGGACAUAACUGACGCUGAGGAGCGAAAGCGUGGGUAGCAAACAGGAUUAGAUACCCCAGUAGUC